rnacentral:lncRNA from 1 species
CCCUCCUUUAGAUAUUGAAAGGCUGCUACUUCUCGGGAGGUGCACUGUGUUGUCUGCCUUAACAAGAAUUGCAUUCAGAAGAUCCUUUCAGUUAACUGAAAACAUGCACCAGUAAGUGGAUGAAGACAAAGGACAAGGAAAACAAAAUCUUGUCUCUGUGUGGCAUGGUAUUUUCUCCAGUGAUCUACCAAAGAAAUAAGCAAAACACUGUUAGCAGAUUUGGACUACUCCUGGAUAUGGGGCAGUUCUCAGUCCAUGAACAAGAAGAGUCCUCAGCAGGGCUGGAAGCAGAGGGCUACAGGGAGAUCUGUGGGCAGAUUAAUCACCCAAGCUCUCAGACGAUGCUCUGAAAGGAGGUGAAAAAGGCAUCUAGAAGGCAGGAAGUCUAGAACAGCCCAGAAAGCAAUGAAAAUGAAUUAUGGAUCAAUAUAGAAGCACCUUCUUUGCACACUGCGCUGUCUUUUAGAACUGCUGAUGGAGGAUUAUCAGAAAGUGUUGCUGAGAUAAAUGAAGAUGAAAAAGGCAAUGGCAUGCAGUAACUUUUUCUGCCUGUACUAAAAGCUAACUAUGGUUGACAACAUGAAAAAAGGGACUUCUAGUUAACACUUGGAACAAUAUCCAGUAGUCAGAAAAAUAAAUAAUACUAAUUAAAAAGAAAAAAGCA